rnacentral:rRNA from 1 species
ACUUACGGCCAUACCAGCCUGAAUACGCCUGAUCUCGUCUGAUCUCGGAAGCUAAGCAGGGUCAGGUCUGGUUAGUACUUGGGUGGAAGACUGCCUGGGAAUACCAGGUGCUGUAAGUG